rnacentral:lncRNA from 1 species
UUUUUUUUUUUUUUUGCUGAAACGGGUGCUUCAUACAAACCGUGUGUGAAUACACCCAAUAAAGUCAAAAUACAAUAUCUCUCGGAGUGCCAGUGGCAACUCCCCCUCCCCUGACCAAAGGGCGUAACCCGAAUGGUGGGCCGCAUAGGCGGCCACCCAAUCAGCCGCCCCAUUGGCCUCCCGGAAUACAUGCUUGGCCUGGAUGGCCCCCCCAUCUCUCAUCAUCCUGACUAUAUCACGGAUUAAGGGGUGGUCUGAGC